rnacentral:misc_RNA from 1 species
GCCCUUCGAGGCGCGGCAAGCGCCGCGCACCUCAGGAUGACGGCGUUCAGAACAUCGUGUGCAACUACGCCACGCCGGGCAGCACGCGGUCCGGCGGCUUGUGGCCGUCGAGGAAGGUACGGAUGUUGAUCAUCACCUUCUCGCCCAUCUCGACGCGGGCCUCCCGAGUNCAGAGUGGCCGAUCCCAUAUGCGGCAGCAGCACGACCUUGCCUGCUUUUGCCAGCCGCACCAGUUUCGGAUUCACCGCUGGUUCGUUCUCGAACACGUCGAGCGCUGCGCCCGCAAUCUCGCCGUCUUCGAUCAGCUUGGUCAGCGUCGCUUCGUCGAUCACCUCGCCGCGCGCGGGGCUGAUGACGUAGGCAUCCUUGCGGAUUAGUUUGAGCCGCCGCGCCGACAGCAGGUGGAACGUCGCCGGCGUGUGCGGACAGUUCACCGAGAUGAAGUCCAUGCGCGCCAGCAUCUGGUCGAGGCUGUCCCAAUAGGUCGCGCCCAACUCUUCCUCGAUCUGCGGCGCGACGGGGCGGCGGUUGUGAUAGUGAAUCUGCAGCC